rnacentral:rRNA from 1 species
CGGGAAGAGCUCAAAUUUAAAAUCUGGCAGCCUUGUGUUGUCCGAGUUGUAGUCUAGAGAAGCAUCAUCCGUGCUGGACCAUGUACAAGUCUCUUGGAACAGAGCGUCAUAGAGGGUGAGAGCCCCGUC